UUAAGAGGAGGUGAUUGUAUUAUUCCUCUUUUCAGAUAAUGGAGAGAGAGAAGAGAACAGCAGUAGCCGUUGCCAGAAAUAUUGAGCAAGGCGGAUUUAUUAGAUGAAGAUAUCAAAAUACUUUCCAUUGAGGAAACAGGUUGGAGGUGGGAGGCUGUAACCAUGCUUGAUUUUGUACCACCCUAACCUUUGCUUUUGUUGGUGGCAUAUAUAAUGAGUGCUGGGUGUUAAGGAAGCAAUGGUGAAGGAGAGACACCCUCCCGACCCUCAUGGUGCUUGCAGCCUAGUGGAGCUAUGAAAAGAUAGGCAAGUGAGUCCUAUGAUUGGAGAAGUAAUGAGAAGUAAUGAGAAGCGUCUUCUAAGCAUAGGGGUAAAGACUGCAAAGACCCUGAAGGGAGAAAGUAAUGGCCAUUCUGAGAACUGAAAGUUUGCACAGUGCACAGAGGGCAUGAAGAACGAAGGAAAGUCAUGUGGUGUUAGCACGGAGAUGAGAAAGAGAGAAAGACAACAUCAUGCUUUGCUGUCUGUGUGUGAACUGAGUAACAGCUGUGAAGGAUCAGUCACCAAAAGACUUUGAAAGAAGAGGCUUGAUUGGUCACGGUAAUGAUGCUCCCCUGGCCAUGGAAGUUUAAUUGGGAGAAAAGAACAUCUGCUUAUACGAAAACAUAUUAUAUUCAGCCAUCCCUGCCCUGACUUUGGCCUUUAAAAACAGUGGCAUUAAUUAUCUCAACAAAUGAAUCUUCGGGAUAAAAAUAAUCUAAAUAUUAUUUUACGCUUACUACAUAUUUGCAACGUGCUAAGCUCUUUAUGGUUGCUACCACAAAAAACAUUUAUAAUAUGAGACUUCACAAGGUUAGGAACAGGCUUCACUUCAUUGUGAUGUGUGUAAGGUGACAGAGGACAUAUAACGAAUACGUGGAAGAACUAGGAAUUUGACCUUAGCUUCCAGACAUUUUGAGGAGGAUACACUAUGUCCAUCUUGCUUUCCUAUCAAGAAAAGUAUACCCAGUUUGUGCAGUAGCCCUGUACCAACAGAUACAUUACAGCAG
rnacentral:lncRNA from 10 species